CCUGGUCACCUUUCCCAACACUGGACCAUGAGUGUUGUGGCUGCCAUGUGUUGGUGGUGACAAAUGGAAUUUUUGAUGUGAUGAAAGCUCUGCUAUGUACUCCUGGAACCUUCCUGCUCUGUCUUCUGCAUUCUGCAGCUGGAUCCAAGUCACAAUCCCAUGCUUUGAAAGAACCCUGGACUCAAGAACAGUCUGAGCUUAAUUCCUGGCUUCAUUACUAACUGUAAAUCAAAGCUCACUGAACCUCGGCUUCCCCAACUAUAAAAUAAGGGGGAAAAAACUAAAAACAUUGAAAUCCCUACAAAAGACACAAUGCUGUGUGACAUGAACACACGUGCACGGAGCCAAUCACAUCAUUUCAUUUCUCCUUUCGUUAUCCAGUAAGCCAGGAAAGUCUACCUCCUGCCUCCAAAGAAGCAAGGUCGACUCUUCUGUAUCAUGACUAUUAAGGCUGAAUUGUGAGUUUAAUCUGGACAACUGGGGGAGAGAUGUGCUGUAACUGGGGACCUUUUUGCAAAUGAGAAAGUCCAGGCCAGAAGAACCAAAGGCUACCUAGCAUGGACCAGUGAGCGGCAGACUCAGAUAGAAGCAGCAGCAUGCCAUUGGACCUCCCUUACCUCCCUUGAUACAUCACCAGCGACUGAACGGAUGCCCAGAGACUUGCUAGGUGCCCACCCGCUCAGCGCUGGGAAAGGGACGCAGAAGCAGCAGGUGAAUUUCCUGACUCUGCCUGGUCGCCAAGUCCACACCGCCCACUGACAAACACAUCUAGUCCGGGAACCCGGUUGUAUGCACGCACAAUGCUGAAAUGGGAAUAAUAUCCCCAUUUUAGAUAUGGAGAAAAUGAAGCUCACUGAAAAUGGGACCUGCCUAGGAAAUAGUGGAUUCAACCUUGGAAAAACAAAACAAAACACCCAGAAGCCAUCAUGUCGCAGGAAUAAUUUGAAGAGCAGCAGCAGAGACUUUUUGGAUUCUAGAGGCUGCACUAAAAGACUUUCUCCUUAC